rnacentral:rRNA from 1 species
CCUACGGGGGGCAGCAGUGGGGAAUAUUGGACAAUGGGGGCAACCCUGAUCCAGCCAUGCCGCGUGUGUGAAGAAGGCCCUCGGGUUGUAAAGCACUUUCAGUGAGGAAGAACGCCUGGUGGUUAAUACCCAUCAGGAAAGACAUCACUCACAGAAGAAGCACCGGCUAACUCCGUGCCAGCAGCAGCGGUAAUACGGAGGGUGCGAGCGUUAAUCGGAAUUACUGGGCGUAAAGCGCGCGUAGGUGGCUUGAUAAGCCGGUUGUGAAAGCCCCGGGCUCAACCUGGGAACGGCAUCCGGAACUGUCAAGCUAGAGUGCAGGAGAGGAAGGUAGAAUCCCCGGUGUAGCGGUGAAAUGCGUAGAGAUCGGGAGGAAUACCAGUGGCGAAGGCGGCCUUCUGGACUGACACUGACACUGAGGUGCGAAAGCGUGGGUAGCAAACAGGAUUAGAUACCCGGGUAGUC